UCGUACCUACGGGAGGCAGCAGUAGGGAAUUUUCGUCAAUGGGCGCAAGCCUGAACGAGCAAUGCCGCGUGAACGAGGAAGGUCUUCGGAUCGUAAAGUUCUGUUGAAGGGGAAAAAGAGCGGAGAGAGGAAAUGGUCUCCGAUUGAUAUUACCCUUCGAGGAAGUCACGGCUAACUACGUGCCAGCAGCCGCGGUAAUACGUAGGUGGCGAGCGUUAUCCGGAAUGAUUGGGCGUAAAGGGUGCGUAGGCGGCCUGCUAAGUCUGGAGUGAAAGCCCCGGGCUCAACCUGGGAACUGCUUUGGA
rnacentral:rRNA from 1 species